ACCGAGUCCUCGGACUCGAAUCCCUUUUUGAGAACCGGUACCCGUUAUCGAGACCACUAUAGUAAAAACAAAGAGUUGGUUCUUUAUUCGAAUCCCUAGGAACGACUCCCGUCCCGACCAGAAAUGCCCCGUAGGACAUCACAAGAAAUGACGUCACGUAGCUCAGUCAUUUGUCACGGUGGGGUGCGGUUCGUUCCCGGGACGCAAAAUUGACGGCUCCGUACGAAAGCGUGCAGUGCUUUCAACCGGAAGUAGAAGGGUCGUUCCGUCUUCUUGCCGUCCAUAGCGGUCCUACUUGAAUGAAUUCUUCAUUCAUCACUCCAAGCAACGUUUUUUCACAAAUUCCUCAUUAAAUUCACCAAAACGUCACCGUGGAGUAACUGAGUCUGUUUUGCUGAUUGGAGAGCGAGCUCGCGCAGCUAGUGGGUCCAUGACGAUGACUUCUGUUUUGUUUGAUCAACCGUUUUACUGCCAUGUUACA